GCGCGACUUCCCUGGCCCUCCCCCUGCGGACCAGUGAACCUCGCCCGAGGGCUCAAUAAAGAAGAUUUUUGCCCUCUUUUUCUCACCUCUCAGCCUUAUUGAUCCAUGGUGCCCUUCCAUUGCCUUUCAUUGGUGCCGAAACCCGGGAGGGGACACCUCCUAAGCCCCCCCAGAGGCUCAGGGGGACUCCCCUCCUGGUCGGAUCAGUCCUCUCCCUCAGUCAGGUCAGGCUUCUCCUCCACGGCCAUCUGUCCAUUUCGUCCGGUUACUUGCUGCCAGGUCGCAGUUGCUGCAGCUACUCCAGUCCAAUUCGGCCGACGCUAGAUUUCCUGAGGUGCUGUGAAUUUUACAGAUCAACUGAGAUGCAAAACCCAUGUUCACAUCAUGAGUGAGUCUUCUAACUCGGACAAUGCAAUCAACAAAUUCUAAGACCAAAUUCCGGUGGCACUGGCUCCAAAGCUCCUGAGUGUGGAAGGAGGUGAACAGGGAAAAGCAGAGAGGACAAAAGUCACAUCCCCUCCCCACAGACCCAUACUGGGGAAGGGUGGAAGAUUUAGCUGCGAGUCAAGUUCAGAAUUUUGAUUAACAUCUUGGCAUGCACAUUCGAAUUUCAGAAUCAAGACUGUUGGCCAUAAAAAAUGACUAUAGCCUUGUGUAUUACCUGAACUGAGCAGUAAAAAAAAAGUCAUGGUCCUUCUGGGGCUUUUAUUCUGAGACAGGAACCCUGAACAGGCAGGAGAAAGGGAAUGUUGACAGAGAAACAAAGACAGUUGGCGACACACGCUGACCGCCAUGCGGACGUCCAUCAAACCCAGCACUGGCCCUGGGUACGUGCGCCUUUGCUAUUACCCCAAUACAUUUUCUUCUGCAGAGCAAGCAACAGAACACAUGCAGACCUUAAUAAAUACCACUGGGUAAUGUGACAAUGGCCAAACUCUCCUCACGGGGGAGAGAGUGUCCCCCAGUUUUGCUCCCUUUUAAUUUCCAGGGUUCAUAAGUAGCUCUAAAGCUUUGCUCUACAAGGUUGAUACAUACGAUAUUAAUGUUUCCCCUAAGCAGUAUAACAUAAAUAUAUUUGCUAUCUUGA
rnacentral:lncRNA from 1 species